rnacentral:misc_RNA from 1 species
UCAAACUUGGUCAUUUAGAGGAAGUAAAAGUCGUAACAAGGUUUCCGUAGGUGAACCUGCGGAAGGAUCAUUACCAAAAUUACAACCGGCCUCGCGGCCAAGCUGGGAAGCCGGGGAAGUGUGGUAGCACCGGGGGGCUUCGCGCUCCACGGCUUAUUGCCCCUCCGGCUUUUACAGUACACCCUUUGUGAAAACCCUCUGUUGCUUCGGCAGCGCCUCCCGUCCCCCUUAGGGGGUCCCGGGAGGAUCAGCCUGCCGACGGCACCCCGAGAAACUCUUCAAUGGAAAAAUUGCACUUUGAAAAGUCUGAAGCUUCCAGUCGAAUGACUAUAAAACUUUCAACAACGGAUCUCUUGGUUCCCGCAUCGAUGAAGAACGCAGC